GACGAACGCUGGCGGCGCGCUUAACACAUGCAAGUCGAGCGAUGAAAUUUCGACAGAUCCCUUCGGGGUGAAGAUGAAAUGGAUUAGCGGCGGACGGGUGAGUAACACGUGAGUAACCUGCCUUUGACAUUGGGAUAGUCUCGGGAAACUGGGAUUAAUACCAAAUGACACUAACUGAUCACAUGAUCAAUUAGUCAAAGAAAUUCGGUCAAAGAUGGACUCGCGGCUGAUUAGCUAGUUGGUGAGGUAACGGCCCACCAAGGCGACGAUCAGUAGCCGGCCUGAGAGGGUGAUCGGCCACAUUGGAACUGAGACACGGUCCAAACUCCUACGGGAGGCAGCAGUGGGGAAUAUUGCACAAUGGGGGAAACCCUGAUGCAGCGACGCCGCGUGAGCGAAGAAGGCCUUCGGGUCGUAAAGCUCUUUUAUGAGGGAAGAUAAUGACGGUACCUCAAGAAAAAGCCCCGGCUAACUACGUG
rnacentral:rRNA from 1 species